UGUUAUCGAGGUUGGAAAGGCUCCCGACGCUCCUCUUAUGAGGAACCUGAGAUGCAGGAUACGCCGCCCUGCCGACAACA
rnacentral:ncRNA from 1 species